CCAUGUAUAGUUCAGCUGGUUGAGUAUGAGACUCUUAAUUUCAGGGUCAUGGGUUCAGGCAAAAGACCCAUGCAUUGCAGGGG